rnacentral:rRNA from 1 species
AUUGAACGCUGGCGGCAUGCUUUACACAUGCAAGUCGAACGGUAACAGGGAGCUUGCUCCGCUGACGAGUGGCGAACGGGUGAGUAAUGCGUCGGAACGUGCCGAGUAGUGGGGGAUAACGCAGCGAAAGUUUUGCUAAUACCGCAUACGUACUGAGGUAGAAAGUGGGGGACCUUCGGGCCUCACGCUAUUCGAGCGGCCGACGUCUGAUUAGCUAGUAGGUGAGGUAAAGGCUCACCUAGGCGACGAUCAGUAGCGGGUCUGAGAGGAUGAUCCGCCACACUGGGACUGAGACACGGCCCAGACUCCUACGGGAGGCAGCAGUGGGGAAUUUUGGACAAUGGGCGAAAGCCUGAUCCAGCCAUGCCGCGUGUCUGAAGAAGGCCUUCGGGUUGUAAAAGACUUUUGUCGGGGAGGAAAUCCCCAGCGCUAAUACCGCUGGGGGAUGACAGUACCUGAAGAAUAAGCACCGGCUAACUACGUGCCAGCAGCCGCCGUAAAAC